AACGAACGCUGGCGGCAGGCCUAACACAUGCAAGUCGAACGCACCGCAAGGUGAGUGGCGCACGGGUGAGUAACACGUGGGAAUGUAUCCUUUGGUUCGGAAUAACGUUUGGAAACGAACGCUAAUACCGGAUGAGCCCUUAGGGGGAAAGAUUUAUCGCCGAAGGAGCAGCCCGCGUCUGAUUAGGUAGUUGGUGGGGUAAAGGCCUACCAAGCCGGCGAUCAGUAGCUGGUCUGAGAGGAUGAUCAGCCACACUGGGACUGAGACACGGCCCAGACUCCUACGGGAGGCAGCAGUGGGGAAUAUUGGACAAUGGGCGCAAGCCUGAUCCAGCCAUGCCGCGUGAGUGAUGAAGGCCUUCGGGUUGUAAAGCUCUUUCGCACACGACGAUGAUGACGGUAGUGUGAGAAGAAGCCCCGGCUAACUUCGUGCCAGCCGCCGCGGUAACAC
rnacentral:rRNA from 1 species